rnacentral:rRNA from 1 species
ACCGUCCGCCCACCCAUCCUCGCACGCCACCCUAACCGGUUGGGAUAGGUGGUUAGAGAGCAGGCGGAGCUCGGGCCGUAGGGAGGAAGGGACGCGCGAGCCGGCCGAGGCCGUCGUCGGCGGGGGAGAGAAGAAGUGGAGGCCGCCGAUCGCGCCACAUCCCUCGCAGCUCGCGGUGGCGCGUAUACCGUCGCCGCUGUCAGUCCUACGACCGGGAGCCGGUCCUUGCGCCGCCCGUACCGGCGAGGAGAGGAGGGCUAAGCGGAGGAGAAGAAGCACGCGCCGCUUGCGCCGUCGGUACCGGCGAGGAGAGGAGGGCUAAGCGGAGGAGAAGAAGCACGCGCCGCCGGCGACGUCGAGGAGCACGACGGGAGGUAGGUAGGGCGGGGAGAACAAAAGGAGGAGAGAGUCUAGCCCGCGGCAGGGAGCGGCACCAAGGUCUAGCCCCGCCUCCAGCGGCGGUAACUCCUCGUCCCCUCCCGCUCCGGACCUCGAGGUGGCCGUCGCGCGCGAUGUAACCAGUAGAAGAGGAUGGGUGCAUUUGUCGCUCGUCUCCGCAUUAGUGCGUCCACGGUCCCUAGUAUGUUAGUUAGGUUAACAAUGGGAACCACACGAAAGACCUACCUGAUUAGACUUCUACGACCGAUCGCACGUAGCGGUAGUAUAUCAGCUCGUUCCAGUUCCCCUUUUAUUUCCGCUAAGUGGUAGACCCCUUUUAUGGUUGAUUAUGUAAAAACAUCAAGGAGACAAUGUCUCCAACGACGACGUUCCACGUCGUCGUCCCCUCUCCUUCCUCCGGACACUAUCCCCCUUUCACGUCCGACCGGGAACAAGUAUCCAAUCGGUAACCUAGACCUAUGAGUACAAUUUUAACGUUCAAAGGUGUACAUCUAAAAUAACAAACUUCCGUUUCAUUUAACGUCGUACUCGUAUUUCUGUUAAAUCGGCCCCCGUGGAUUUGACUCUCCCUCCAAUCGUCGUUUUCUUUCUGGCGAUGAAUCCGAAGGUACAGAGGGAUGAGAAGUCAAAUCUGGAGGCUUCCAGCUUCCGGUACUUUGUGAUUUAUUGGAACGUUGCCUAUGGGACACCAGAUGGUAAUAUUAAUACACACGUAAAACCUAGAUAACCUACAGACUUACAUUACGAUUAGCUUUAAAUGACUACGUUUCUAAACGUCCCUGCAUUAUAUAUAACACUACAAAGUGAUGCUAGAAGUUCACAAAGUCAAGCAUAAAUCGUCCUAGUGUACAACUGGUUACUGAGAAACAAAAGAGUGACUAGGUCAUAUGAGUUCUUGAACUUAUAACACAAACGACACUCAAUAACUGUCAAUAAAAACGUUGAGUCCUCACUUCUACCGGAAGGAAACCAUCCGCAUCACUUACCUAAAAGAAGAUUAAGUCCGGUACCAACUAUGGCGAGCCGCAGACCUAGACGGUACCUCACCGAUGGUACCCGGUUGGUCUCGACCCACGGGGACAAAGGCUGGAGCUCCGCUAAUCUAAUCUCAGACUAAUUAAUACAUAGUAAGCCAGGAAGGAAACCGAUAAUUAGAUAACACCAGACGAAAAGUUCGAGUAUGUUGUACGAAUAUAACUUAAUUUAAAACAUAUCUAUCGACAUUCUAAGAUCGCUUUGUAGAAGUUCGAAUUCAACGACUUGACUAUAUCGUAGAACUAUGGUAUGUACAUUUGAUUAAAUCCUUUAACAUAACAAGACUCUAUUAAAAAAUAAACUUUUGUAAUGGUUGUAUCCGCACAAUGGAAGUGUGUCCCUUCUUCAAUAAAACACU